UGUAUCUUUUGGCUAAAAUGGGGACCUAAACUUGAUGCUUUUUGAACUCAUUUUUAUGCUCUUGGACUAGUGACAAGUGUCAAUGUUUUUUUUUUUCAGAAGCCCGCCCUGGUAGAUUUAAUCUGCCGCUUGACCAGCAGCACUGUCCAGAGACAGAGUGGUUGAUGCUGGAUAGAAGACUUUUCCUCAGCCAUUAUUACCUGCUGGUAGAGGCUGAACACUUUAAUUAAUAUAUCUGUGGUUUUGCUGAGAUGUAGCAAUCCUGGGAAUUUUCCAAAGAAGAUUCAAGAGAACUUUCUGGACCUCAAGAGAUGUUGACACCCUGCUGAUGGAGCAGAAGCAGAAAGCAGUUCUCUUACCAUCAGAUCUGAUCCAUUUCUGGAGAUAGCCUUUUGUAUGGAGCUGGGUAGCGGUUACUGGAGACGUGCUGUUGAUUGAUGAGGAUAAUUUUCCUGAGACUUUGACAUAUUGCAGGACUUGGAUAGCUCUACUGCUGUUCAAAAUGCCAGAAAUAGACUGAAGAAGACGACAUGAAGUAAUUGACUGUAUGGAAAUUCCAAAUUCUCCCAGAUCCAGGUAAACAUAAGGACUGUGGAGUGUUGUGAUGUUACUGAUGGUCAACAGAAGACUGUGACCUUGAAUCUGAAGAUCUGUGAUGAAGACUGGACGUUUGGGGUCACUCUCUGUUACAGUACUACAAAUCUAAGUAAGUACUCAGUAAUAAUGUAAGACUGAACUCUGUAUCAUGUUUAUCUAAUAUAUACAUUGUAAAAUCAAACACAUAUUGAAAUACAUAAUUAACAAACAGAAUAAUUAGUAGUUUAUCACACACAAACAAGUAUAUGUGUACUGGUAUAGAUGUACUAUAAUUCAAGGCUACACACAAAAUACUGACAAAGUGACUUAGUACAUCACAAGAACUGAUUUACCUUUAUUUACAUUUCAUGAUUGACAUGUGUCUAAUUGUAUAUAGAUAAUUAACUAGUAACACAAUCUAAUUAUUAAUUAGUAUACUAAGAUUAGAUAUAAUAAUACAGAUAUUGUAAGAUAUAAUUACUAAACAGCAGUGAGAGACUAAUGUUCUAUCAGUUA